AUUUGAUGUUGGGGAAUUAUGCAACGUGGAAACGGUACCACCCGAUACGUCCAGUGCUUAGAGCUUGUGAUUAGAAACACCACCCUCUCCCCCGCGCGGGCGAAAUAGCCUCUGCUUGUUCUCCAUUUGCUUUGCCAAAUUCCGACCACUUUUGCUGAGAAAGAAACAGAAAUUGACUUCGCGCACUAGAAAUUUGAUUUUCAAAGCCAAUUCCGAAAUGGCGGUGCUCAUGCGCUUCCCUUCCCACCCACCCUUCUUCUCUGCCCUCGGAAGUGCAACAAGUGAAGUGCUGGGGGGCAUUGUGACAGGUGUUGUUCAAUCAAGCAGCAACAAAUGGCAAUCUCCAAGCAGAGGAAGAAGAGUCAUAUUGUUCCGGGGUCCUGUAAAGUCUGUACAAACUUCAUGCCGGGUUUCAAUCCCUGGGACCUCAUCGGGGAGAGAAGAAAAGGUGUCUACAAAUUUUUUGAGGGAUAAGAAGUUAGUUCCUGAUUCAGAUCCUCCUAGCAUCAACGAUGUCAAGCUUUUGUAUCAAUUUUUUGAUCAAAGCACCAAGCUCACAGCAUUGACUGGAGCCGGAAUUAGCACAGAGUGUGGGAUUCCUGAUUAUAGAAGCCCCAAUGGAGCUUAUAGUUCUGGUUUCAAACCAAUUACCCAUCAGGAGUUUCUGCGAUCCAGUCGGGCCCGUAGGCGGUAUUGGGCAAGAAGCUAUGCAGGAUGGAGACGGUUUUCUGCAGCACAGCCUGGUGCAGCUCAUAUGGCUUUAGCAUCUCUAGAAAGGGCCGGCCAUAUAAAUUUUAUGAUUACACAAAAUGUUGAUAGGUUGCAUCAUCAUGCUGGUAGCAACCCGCUUGAACUACAUGGGACUGUAUAUACUGUAGCUUGUCUAGAUUGUGGUUUUUCUUUUAAUCGGAAUUUAUUCCAGGAGCAAGUGAAGGAGCUUAAUCCAAAGUGGGCAGCAGCAAUUGAAAGUUUGGAUUUUGGCAGCCCUGGGUCAGACAAGAGCUUUGGCAUGAAGCAAAGGCCUGAUGGUGAUAUUGAAAUUGAUGAAAAAUUUUGGGAAGAGGAUUUUCAUAUCCCUACUUGUGAAAAAUGCAAUGGUGUGUUAAAACCUGAUGUUGUUUUCUUUGGUGAUAAUGUCCCCAAAGAUAGUGCCGAUAAGGCAAUGGAAGCUGCAAAAGGAUGUGAUGCAUUUCUUGUAUUGGGAUCGUCUUUGAUGACCAUGUCUGCUUAUCGACUAGUCAGUUGCAAGUGAGUUUUCACAGGAACCAGAUAAACAAAAUUUAUGGUUAUUUUCUGUUUGGCUUGGUGGGAUUAAAUCUAUGUGGUCGAUGCAUCCUCCAUGGGAUUAAGUCUGUUUGGUUGAUGCAUCCUCAUGAAUUUAUCAAGCUUCUGCUUAUUUGGGUGAACCUCGAAUAAAGUUCUCUUCACCAAUCAACACUUGUAUAACUGAAAGCUUCACUUUGAAUGGCGUGACCUUCUCAUAAGGGAACUCCAAAAGGCAAUUAAAGAUUCCAUCACUAAGACUGUCUCAUGAAGGCUGUAGUCUGGAAUGUUGUUUCUAUGUGCAUAUAUGGUAUAAUCCCUUCUCAACAUCCUGUAAAGAGGAAAUUAAUUUCAUGCUGGAAGAUACGUUUGGUUUUACUAUCAAUAUUCUGAUUGAGGCAGAUGAAGCUUUUUUUUUUCACCCACCAAUGCAAUUUGCUCCUGGUGUUUUUAAUCUUUAGCUGAUAAGGCUUUUCACAUUGAACUCCACAGAGCUGCUUCUGAGGCAGGCGCUGCUACUGCAAUUGUGAACGUAGGUGUCACGCGGGCCGAUGAUUUUGUGCGCUUGAAAAUCAAUGCCCGAGUAGGAGAGAUCCUGCCAAGAGUGCUUGACUUGGGAUCCCUUAGCAUCCCUGCUCUC